rnacentral:tRNA from 1 species
GGUGGCUCAGUGGUAGAGCGCUUGCCUCGCAUGCAUGAGGCCCUGGGUUCAAUUCUCAGCACCA